GGGCAGCAUAAUGGAUAGCAAUAUCUAUGGUGGCGACCGGCGCACGGGUGCGUAACGCGUAUGCAACCUACCUUUAACAGGGGGAUAACACUGAGAAAUUGGUACUAAUACCCCAUAAUAUCAUAGAAGGCAUCUUUUAUGGUUGAAAAUUCCAAUGGUUAGAGAUGGGCAUGCGUUGUAUUAGCUAGUUGGUGGGGUAACGGCUCACCAAGGCGACGAUAUAUAGGGGGACUGAGAGGUUAACCCCCCACACUGGUACUGAGACACGGACCAGACUCCUACGGGAGGCAGCAGUGAGGAAUAUUGGUCAAUGGACGCAAGUCUGAACCAGCCAUGCCGCGUGCAGGAUGACGGCUCUAUGAGUUGUAAACUGCUUUUGUACGAGGGUAAACGCAGAUACGUGUAUCUGUCUGAAAGUAUCGUACGAAUAAGGAUCGGCUAACUCCGUGCCAGCAGCCGCGGUAAUACGGAGGAUUCAAGCGUUAUCCGGAUUUAUUGGGUUUAAAGGGUGCGUAGGCGGUUUGAUAAGUUAGAGGUGAAAUUUCGGGGCUCAACCCUGAACGUGCCUCUAAUACUGUUGAGCUAGAGAGUAGUUGCGGUAGGCGGAAUGUAUGGUGUAGCGGUGAAAUGCUUAGAGAUCAUACAGAACACCGAUUGCGAAGGCAGCUUACCAAA
rnacentral:rRNA from 1 species